AAUGAACGCUGGCGGCAUGCCUAACACAUGCAAGUCGAACGAGACCUUCGGGUCUAGUCGCGCACGGGUGCGUAACGCGUGGGAAUCUGCCCUUGGGUUCGGAAUAACAGUUAGAAAUGACUGCUAAUACCGAAUGAUGUCGCAAGACCAAAGAUUUAUCGCCCAGGGAUGAGCCCGCGUAGGAUUAGCUAGUUGGUGUGGUAAAAGCGCACCAAGGCGACGANCCUUAGCUGGUCUGAGAGGAUGAUCAGCCACACUGGGACUGAGACACGGCCCAGACUCCUACGGGAGGCAGCAGUGGGGAAUAUUGGACAAUGGGCGAAAGCCUGAUCCAGCAAUGCCGCGUGAGUGAUGAAGGCCCUAGGGUUGUAAAGCUCUUUACCCGGGAAGAUAAUGACUGUACCGGGAGAAUAAGCCCCGGCUAACUACGUGCCAGCAGCCGCCGUAAG
rnacentral:rRNA from 1 species